GCUGUCUUCGAUCCAUCAGCACCACGGGCACAGCACCGCUCAGCUGUGCCUGUGACAGUGGGGCAAAGAGCAAGUGGCUAUUUCUACGCUCAGUGUUCGGAAGCCAGUGAGCACUAAGAAUGGUUUAUAGCCUGACAUUU
ensembl:snoRNA